CAUGGAACAAAGACCUAUCAGUGAACCCUGACUUUCAUGGAACAAAGACCUAAAAAAACAAAGUGACUUCUCUUUGACUUUGAAGGAUCUUAGUCUUUCAGACAGUGGGGAAUACUUAGGCAAUAUUUCUUCAAGCAAAUAUAGCUUACUCACCAUCCAAAUGCUGCAUGUUGUAAGUAAGUUACAAGUAGGGUUGGGUAACAGAUUUUGGCUAUAGCAAUAGAGAUUGUGAAUAUCAAACAGGGAAAUUAGGUUGGCAUUUAACGAAUAAUUUUGAUAAGUAUUCUUGAAAAUGUUAUCUAUAGGGAUACUUCUGGCCAAGAUACUUCUUUAAAAAUCACAAAGUCCUGCAUUGAAAAAAUUUUUUUUUUCUCCCAGAAGAUUCCUCUUCAUGGUUUCAGGGCUUCAGAAAUGUAGAGGGAAUUUACAUGAUUUGGUGAGUCUGUGGUCUUAACAUCCUCAAUUUCUGCUUACUACUGUGCUUAACCUGUGCUUUAGGGCCUGGAAUUUGGGGAGUUGAGGCUUCAGGCACAGUAAGAAGUUAGAACUGGGGCUCUGGUAGAUGCAGGGGAAGCAUGAUCUGUGAACCUGGUGGAAACAGUCACCAAGGGAUGUUGGAAGCAAUUAAGUGAUGCCCGAUUCAGCUUAUUUUCUUUUUACCUCUACUGAUAGUUAACUGCCAAAAAUAUUUAUGGAGAGUGGACUAGAGAUAUUUUAGAGUCAUGGCAUAUGCACCCGUGAAGUUGACUUUCUAGGUGGAUUGGUUGAUCCCCUUACCCUUAAGCUAUCAACAUGAUGUCGUAGGAAACCAUGGCAGCUCUGUAUUAUGUAUUAAAGAUACUUGAGUCAGUUGAAUAUUUGUUUUAAAAACAUUUAUAUCAUUCUAGUUGUGAAAAUUAGGAGGAAUAGCAGAUUUGGAGGUAAGAACAUAGAGUUGUCCUUAGGUCAAGUAGUCUUCAAGCAGAAGCUUCUAGACACUGAGGGACAAUACUCCCUUUGUGCAGAGCUGUCAUUUUGACAAUGCUGAAAAGUGGAGUGCAUUUGAAGCUCCUAUUUUUCUCCAAAAUAAGAAUGUUAGUUUUAUGUAAAAUACAGUUAAGCUUUCAUUCUGUUUUUAAAACGUUGCCUCAUUUUGGAGUGUGGGGGAAAAAAACAGGAAGAUAUGGUCUGAAGACCACAUAUGACCCAUCUUUCUAAUCAGAGGUCUAAUCUUUAGUUUACACAAAGCAAAGCAUCAGGACCAUUCCAUCUCUGACAAAAGAAGCUUUUCAGAACCUCUCAUUCCCACCCAGGAAGAGGUGUGUAAUGGGAGCUACCCCCACAGGGCAAACACCACUCAUAUCCUCAACAUCACUCUUUCAAGGCAACUUGGUUUUCUGUUCUCAAUUGCAAUUUUCUACUUGUUAUCUUCCUCAGGAGAUGCUGCAACAUUUGAAAAGGAAGCCCAGAUUUGGGGGCAGAGGGGUUAUGGAUCUACUCCAUAAAAGUUGCAUGGAAUUGAAUGGAAUUUAAUAAUUCUUGCUAAAUUUUGUGGAAUCACUAUGUGAUGUUAGGCAAAUUUCUUUACAGAUGGGAGAAGCGAGGGUCAUGAGUAAAGUAAGGAAAUUCUAUACCUUGCAAGAUUUUUUUCAGGAGGAAAAGUGUGCAUACGGAAACACUUUUGAAAGUCAACAUUUCUACUUAAUUGUUCACCCUCUAUAUGGGUAUAGAAUUUCAGAAUGACACAAAUAUAUAGAGAGAUUAAUGUUUUAGUGAUUGCAGGACAUUACUUUAUUAAUAAAGAGUAUGUUCAUAAAAAUAGGCAUCUGUUAUAUAGAGCUAUUCAUUUUAAAGAAUAGCUAUAAACAUUUUUUUCCACCUUGAAUUGGCCUAUGUGCUCUAAUGCUUGCCCCCACUCUGUGGCAGAACAUAGAUCACAAGAUUAGCAGGUAACUUAAGGUCUCCAAGUUUCUGCCUUCUGGGUCCUACUUCUUUUAAUACUAAUUACAAUUAUAGUUCCAACAAUGAUGCUGAAAAAACUCUGGCUACUCCAAUGAUUCUGAGGGGCAUCAAGCACUCUCUUGGUCACCUCUCACUCAAGACCAUGGCUCCCACACCACUCUGCUCAUCACCUCUGUACUUACCCCUGUUCCUCUAUGCCCCUGUCUUCUCCAAGCCAAGGGUGAACUCUGCCCUCCCUUCAUCCUCCAAGGAGAAUGCUGGGCUGAGGUUAGUCUGUAGUCAUAAUUAUCCCUUUGUUAAUUCUCUUCACAAUAUAAAAAAUAGAAACUCACAGUGCAUAAUAGACUCACUGCCUUUUAAGUUUGCAGACUUUUUCUCCUCUGACACCCACUCCCUACUAAGCCCCAAAUUGGUUAAUAUUCCUGCUUAUGCAGGUUUCCCACAGUAAAGCCAUUGAGACUGUGAGGUAUUUAUGCUCAUGAAUGCAGAAAUAACUAGUUUUUAAAAUAGUAAAUGUUUCCUUUGGUAAUUUUUCUUCCAGUUUAUAGACUUUUUGUUUUAUUUAGAACAGAGUCAAAAAGGAAUUACCUGGAUAAUUAUCCUGUCUCUGGUGCCUUUGGUUUUGCAUGUUCCUUAUUAAGUCAAUAAGUUGCAUCCAUUUCAGUGGAGAUAGGUGUCUCAUGGGGAAUUUGGGCUUUGUUCCCUGGGUGUUGAGUAGAGGUGUAUCAAGCAGCUAACCCCACACAGCUGCUGGGCUUGUAAACAGACUUCAAUCUUCUGGAUAUUCAUUUGCAAAAUUUAUCAGCAACCUUUCUAAAUGCUCUCACAUUUCCAUCUAACUAUCCUACUUUUAACAAGUUUAUCCUGAGUUAAAUGGUCAACAAUAUAACAAGCUAUAUACACGCACAUGCAUUGUAGCACACUGAAAAAAUUUAAAUCUGGCACUAAUACACAAAAAGAUCAAAUUUAUCUUGCAUUGAAAAAUAGCUGGAAUGAAAUAAACCCAGACUUUAAAAUGGAUGCCUUUGGAGAGAGUUUGCCCCCUCUGUCUGGACUUGCUUUAGUCCUUGUACUGUUUUCUUUUUCCUUGAGCUUUGUCUAUGGUGCUACUUCUUUGUUCUUUAUAGGCCAUUUUAUUUUAAUCCUUGUUAAAUUUGUAAAAAAAAAAACUUUUUCUAGAUUUUCUGGGACAAACCUGUGUUACUUACAGUACUUUUAUUACUUAUGGUAAUUUAAAAUUAUACAUUAAGAUGCCAUGGUCACAGGACUUCUUAGAAGACUUUGCUCUUAUUGACAGAAUUAGAUCCAGGAAAAAUUUAGAUGUAGUUAUUUCCACAUUUUAUAGACCAGGAAACUGGAAUCCAAGUAGUUAGGGACAUGAAACAGUUUCAUGUACACCACUUACGAUGACACAGCUAACUAGUGGCAGAGGUAGGUCUAGGCUCCAAGUAGCUCUCUUACUCCAUAACCUUUCUGAGAAGACCGAGUGUCCUGGGAGGCUGAGAUAUAGCUCAUGUCCCUUCCUCUGGUUGAUAAUUGCCUUUUGCCCCUGAUGAAGUUAGGGGAUUUGGUCAUAGCAGACACCAUUAUUGAAGGUAAGGUUUUUAAGGGUGAUACUGAGCAAGAGUUUCACCAAAUCUACACCUUUGAUUGUUUGUACUAAUCCGCAGACUAGUCCUGCUUAUUGUUCCUCCUGUCCCUCAGCUGGCCGGAAGUAAACAAAAUCAGAAAUUCUGGGCAAGUCUAGUUUGUCCCCCAGAAGCAACCUCUGACCUGAUACAAUGACGGUUGUGACUAAAUUAGGGUUCAAAUUAUAGAACAGAGGGACACUACAUACUGCUCAAGAAUGACAUUUUAGUUUCUAUUUUGGAAAUGUGCAAAAGUCAAGUCCCAACAGAAAACACCUGGCAUACCCAAAAUUGUACAAAGGGGAACACAAAAGAUAGUGCAUUUCCCCAGAACUGGGAGCAGCUGAUUUGAUAGCAAAUAUAAGCUUGAAGGGACAAGGAGAGGGUGCAGUUCCCAAAACCCAGAAGCAGAGAGUCAUGUAAAAUCUGAUGCCUUAUAGGGAGAAUGACUUUUAGUUGAAGGACACAGACCAAGAAGACCUUACAAGGAAAGAGCUGGAAGAAUAAAUAUGUGCAUUUGCCUUUUCCUCUCUCUGGUCUCCACCUCAACUGGAGGCCAGAGGGAAGACUUUAGAAGGAACCUACUCAGGUAAGCAUCCCAGGGCAGAGACAGGAGGCUGGGUUCUGAUUCUGGAGGAGCAGUCAGGAGAUAAGAGCAAAAACAAUGUCAGGGUAUUGGCUACCUAAAAAAAUAAUGUUCUACAGUUCUGUAGUUAGGUAGGCUGAAAAUUUAUUUCAAGCUGUUGCACUAAUGGCCCCUAAACCUUGGUUGUAGUUUCAUAGGACCAUGGUUCAUGUUUUUCUUCUUUAAAUUCCCUUUUCUAGUACUGUUUUAAAAUGUCCUUAGUCUAGGAUAAGUAUAAAUUAUCCCAGAUUUUAGCGAGGCACAAAAGGAAGGCCUUACAAUGUUGUUGUAUCCCUUUUCCUUUGCCAUCGCUCUGGGUUUAACCAUCAUCUCUUUGGCUGUUAUUUUCCAUUGUUAACAGUUAGUAGGAAUCAGGCCAACAAUCCUAAAGAGCCAGGAAUUCCUGGCCUGGUUGAACAGCCUUUACCCCUGCUUUGGAGCACCUGAAUCGGCCAUAAGAAUUUAUUGCUAUUUGUAGAUGAAGAAGUAUUUCUACACUGAAUGCAUUUUUAAUGCUGUUUGUUGGAAGAAAGAUAUGAAAGGGGGAGUGACUAAGGUGAGUGAAUCUAAUAACGUAAUUGUACUGAGGUAGGAAUAAGAAAGAAGCUGAGCAUUUGCAAAGAGAUUUUUUUUUAAUUUCUCUUUUUUCCUGUAGAAAGGUAUUCUGUCUCUACUGAUGAGAGAGCCAACACUGCUAAUGACACAGAAGAAAACAAGGCCCUUUCAAAACACCCAGACAGUAUAGGAAAUGAAGCAGAACUGUGGUAACACAUGACGAGCAUCCUUAAUAUCCAGUGACUUCACUUACUCUUUCUUUACUGCAAUUCCAGAUAUGGCUCAUCAUGGCCCAGUAAUUCUACCAUUGGAAAGACUUUCCAACUACCAUUGGAAAGACUGGCAAGACUUUGACAAGAUUACAUUUACUCUUCAAGUCCUAGCCAUCACUCACUGACUCCCUACCUGCAUCAAGAUUAUGAAUGCCUGGAUGCCAAGGAUUCCAAUUCAAACUUAGAACUUUCUCAUUCAUUGACAUCCCUGCUGCAAUCAGCCACAGUGAGACUCCCAUCAAGAUCCUGGAAGAAAUUAUCACUAAGUGUUGAUUCAAAAUCUGAUCAACUAAUGAUCUGAUCAACAUAGAAGCAGAAAUUACCUUAGUGAAAAGGUGAAAAACCAGGGCAAUUGAUAUGCUAAGGUAUUGUACUCCAGUUUUCUAUGAAUAGUUAAUAUCAGUUUAACCAACUAAAUUUAGUAUGAUGAGUCUUAGGGACUCCAAAGUCUAAAAAUGUCAGUAUCUUCAAGAUUGCCUAGAGCAAAGGGCCCUAUCAACUCAAGAAUUGACAUCUCUGAGUCUGGGUUAUACCUUCCAACACCAGGUUUGCAUAGCUGAGUGACAUUAGCUAUGAAGAUAAUUUGAUUCACUCUUCUGGCUCAGUUGUCAUAUUGUUAAUCAGCCUUAUUAUAAAUUUAUAUUUCCACAUAAAUUUUUACACAAAGACAGAAUGGAUAGCGCAGUUGACUUGAUCGCUUCCUUUUAAUUUUAAUCAGUUUAUAAGAAAGAAAAAAAUCUAAUCAGGAUUUUUGUUACUUAAUCAAGUUUUGACCCUAUAGUUUAUAGGAGAAAAUCAACCUUGAAUUGUAUAUUAAUGCUACCUGGUCCAAUUUUCUCUAAGUGUUUGCUCCAAUGUUAUGACAGGUACUCAUCAUAAAGUAUUGACAUCAUUAUAAACAAAAA